UACGUAGGGUGCAAGCGUUGUCCGGAAUUAUUGGGCGUAAAGAGCUCGUAGGCGGUCUGUCGCGUCGGCUGUGAAAUCCCGGAGCUCAACUCCGGGUCUGCAGUCGAUACGGGCAAACUGGAGCACUGCAGGGGAGACUGGAAUUCCUGGUGUAGCGGUGAAAUGCGCAGAUAUCAGGAGGAACACCGGUGGCGAAGGCGGGUCUCUGGGCAGUAACUGACGCUGAGGAGCGAAAGCGUGGGGAGCGAACAGG
rnacentral:rRNA from 1 species